AAGUGACCCUGUCUUUGCCAUGUGCUCUGUUGCUAUUUAUCGUGACAUCUCGGACUCUUCUCUCAACAGCGGUGACUCUUCUAUGCCCAUUUUGCCGAUGACAAACUGUGCUGGUCCACACAGCGAGAUGUCGCCCACAAUUGUGGAGUUGAAAAGCCUCCCUAGUUCAACCUCUGGUGAGGAGCCUAUGGAAGUUGCCAUCUCAGCAGUCGACGUGUGCCUGGGAACAAGAGGUCAGGUCACCAGAUGGAGCCAGAGCACUGGGGAGGGCCAGGCAUGCUCUUCUUAUAACCACCCUGUGUGGGAACGAAGGGACCAUGACUACUACUUUAAUCUCAUCUGAGAGCAGAGCCUACAAUAUACCAAGACCCCCCCCCCCCAGGUCCACCUCUUAAAGGCCCCACCACCCCCUUCACCUGUGCACCAAGAACCAAGCCUCCAGCAUGUGACCCACUGGGGGACACUUGAGCCAUACCCAACCACAGCAGCCACUUUGCCUGGGACAAGAUCUGAGAACUUCAGUGGACGCCUACAGGAUGAGUCUCCACCCACAAAGGGAGCUCCACACUGGACGGCCCUUUUCAGUAACUUUCUCAUAAACAGUCUGGUACACAGCGGGAGCCCCAUGCAUCUUUGAAAGUGGGGUCCACAGGGGAGAAGACUCAACAGAAAGAUCUUUAAAUGAAUGGCCCCUCCCUGGCCCUGGGGAAUAUAUUAGGGCUGAAGUGAUGGCCGAAACGGGACAGUAAUCCAGGGAAGACAGGGAGACGAAUCGGGCAGG